rnacentral:lncRNA from 10 species
CUGGGAAAUACCUAAUCAACCAAGAGAAGUGGCUGUCUUCUCUUCCCUCCACCCUCCAGGAAAUGGUCCCUGGGUUCUCCAUUACUUCCGUGUUUUAUCACCCUGAUGGUUAGAGAGAUCAAAUGAUAUGGUGGAGAUGACAGCUCAAGAGCAAAGCCAAGAUUUGGACCCAGAUCUACAAGACCAAAGACUUGGCUCCCUCCUUCUGUUCUACCAGGCUGAACUUGUAUUCUCUUACA